CCAAGGAGUCUAACAUGUGUGCGAGUCGUAGGGAAGUUUAUGGACUAAACCCGAAGGCGCAAUGAAAGUGAAGGUCGGCUCAUCGUCGACCAAGGCGGGAUCCGUUCGGGCUUACGGUUCGGCCGAGCCCGGCGGCGCACCGCCGGCCCGUCUCGACCGCAAUGCCGGUGAGGCGGAGCAAGAGCAUACACGUUGGGACCCGAAAGAUGGUGAACUAUGCCCGGGCAGGACGAAGCCAGAGGAAACUCUGGUGGAGGUCCGUAGCGAUUCUGACGUGCAAAUCGAUCGUCGGACCUGGGUAUAGGGGCGAAAGACUAAUCGAACCGUCUA
rnacentral:rRNA from 1 species